rnacentral:lncRNA from 1 species
UGGGAAGCCUGACUAGCUACUUGUUUGGAAGAAUAACCUAAAGAAAAUUCAUUGAUAUUUGGUUUACUUUAAUUUUAAGUAGUAGUUAAAAUGUAAUGGGGUGUAUAAGGUGAGAUUUGGGAAUUUCUCAUGUAAUGAAAGCCAAGAGGUACAUUUAAAAAGAUGAUAAUUUGGAGAGCUUCCUAGAUUGAUCUCUACUCAUUCAGCUUGGGGAAAAAAUGACAGCUGAAAUGUUGGCUAACAACUGCUGGAAGGAGGGAUUCUGCUCCUCACCCCUGGCCAUGGAAUUUUAC